GGGGUAAGUUCCCUAUAUAUGAAAGAGAUCGAACAUAUUUUUAAAAUAUUGAAUAAUUUCUUAUUAAUAAAACAUUUAUUUUGCUAAAUACUAAAAUAACUUUUAAUAUAUUAUAAUAAUGAUAAAUAAAUUUUAAUUUAAUAUAAAGAAGUAAAAUUCUAGAUGAUGUAAAUUUUUUAAAAAGAAAAAGAAAAAAAAGUAUCUUUCUUUUGUUAUCACCAAUAGUUUCUUGCAAAAGAAAAUAGACUUCCAGAAAAUGUGUUUGAUGAUUUUCAAAUCUCGCAUCAUAAAAUUAAAACCUCGCAGAGUUUGGAGAAGUAGACAGUGACAGGUUUCUGAAACUAGCCCCUCCUUUAUAUAACAAAGCGACUCAGAACACAAUUGGUGAUGGUGGUAGUUCCCUGAAAAUAAAAACUCUACGGCAAGGAAAGUUUGAGAGUGAAUUGGUGAUGGUGUCUCGUCUGCAUAUGAGAGUGAAUUUGAGAGAAGAUGGAGAACUAGUUGUGAAAGUUUUAUAAUAAACGGCAAAAAUUCGCGAUGUCAGGAAAUGGUUAGUUAUUGAAGCCUCA
rnacentral:misc_RNA from 1 species